ensembl:lncRNA
CUCCAAACUGGAACAGCAAAGCAUUGAGCAAAGUGCUGAGCUUUAGGUGAAUGAGUAAUGUGACCGAACGACCUGGCUGCCUGACUUGCACAGCCAAGCCCUGUGUGAACACAGGGGCUAAGGCUGUGUGAUCACCUGUAACACUUCGUGCUCAAACCUGAGAUCCAGGUGCUAUAGUCAGCUCCUCAGUCAUCUGUUUAAAGGUCUGAGCGCCUUCACUGAUUGUGGAAGUUACAGGGAGUUGUUUUCUCCCACCUAGAGGUGUGUCGUUCAUUGUUGCCACUGAAGACCAGGCUGCAGGUAAGGGAAAAGAAUGAUUGAGAGGGGAAAAAAAACAACAACCUGAGAGCAUCAGGAAUGAUAUUCUUCUGUGUAUCCCAUCAGAAAGUAGUUUGUAAGGGUGAGCUGUUGCUAAAGAAUUGCUUAUCUUUAAUUAAUCUUUGGGGAUGAUAAAUGUUUUGAAACAUUUAUAAUAGAAUUUGCAGUCCUGCAGGCAGUAACAGUAAAAUUUGUACUUUAAAGUCACAUUUUGCUCUCAUUUGUACUGCACUAUAUUUGGAGAUGAUCGUUUAUGUCUAUGAGAAGUCUAUCUCAAAUUAAUGCUGGUGCAGAUGAUGACAGAGUCUACUCCAGCGAGUAUCCACUUUUUGCUGCUCCUACAAAACCACAUUCAAAUGAAGCAACAGGAGCAAGACCCAACCCUCUCCUCCAUGGGAGUGAGCAAGAGCAUCGGUACCUCCACAUGACAGCAUAUCUAUCCUGCUUGAACUGUGAAGCAGGGAUCUGCCAAGAGGUGGAAAAGGUGCUCCCCUUGCUCCAGCCUUGCUUUACAGACACCCACAACUGACUUAGAUCCUUCAGCAGAGAGCAUAGACCGUGUGGCAGAGGCCUACAGGUGGGAUUGCAUCUGGAUGACCAUUUAUUAUGUCCUCUUCUUCAGGCAUAUGCUCUUCUUAUGAGGUACUGCAAAUUCAUGUGGGCUUAGUUUUCCUUCUACUUAAACAAAGAAACAAAAAACCCCCAAAAACUGUGAGCCAGUUUCCAGGACAUUCUUUAGCAGGAAGAGUGGUUUAUGUUGUGGUGGCAGCUCUAAAACCAAGGGUUUAACUAAUUGAGUCAGUUAAAAUCCUGUAUCACUUCCUGGACUUUAUCAAAAUAUAAAUCUCUCUUAUUCUGAUAACAGUCAUGAUGGGUAAUUGAUUCAUUUGUGCCUAAGGUGCCCAGGAAAGCGAUGGAGUCACCAUCCCUGGUGGUGGUCAAGAACCAUGUGGAUGUGGCACUGAGGAACAUGGUUGGUGGGCAUGGUGGGGAUGGGUUGGCAAUUGGACUAGAUGAUUCGAAUGUUCUCUUUUUGUUGUUUUUUUUUUCAAAAAAAUCCAAUUAUUCUGUUCUUUUUUAUUAAUAUCGUUAUUUACAACUAUAUGCCUUAGAAUCCUCAAACAAUACUUACUGUUUUCCAUCCUGGAGGCGGCUGAAUUACAGUGGUGAGCAAAAUGCCCUUUGUACAUAUGGUAAGUAAUCAGCUGCUGAAUUUCAUGAGGUGCUUGGUGAUCUUUGGAUUGGGGAUGCCCUAUGUGUUGGUCACUCCUUGGCAGGAGCAGACGUAGGCUCUGGAUGAUGGGUAAAGUGAGAAUUCCAGAGAACUGAACAAGAUAAGAUGAACGUUUAUGAUAAGCCAUCCUUUCUCUCACACACACUCUUAAAAAAAAAAAAAAAUCAUUAUAUUUAUUCAUUUUUCAAUGUAACAAAAGAAAGUGUGUCCAAAAAGGAUUUUCUGUUGCGUAAGUAAAAGGUAUCAAAGUGAUUCAAAAACUCAGAUCUCCUCUCUAACCACAGCACAAGCUAUAAAAAUCUUCCCCUUUCUACUGUCUUACCCAGUAUAUUUCAUCUGGGAUCUGAAGGGGCUGCUCAGGGAAUUAGAGACAAUGCUGUACCUGUAUCCAUGUUUGUAAAAGUCCGCUAUGGUGGUAGUUUGUCAUAUGGACCUGUUGCAGGUGGCCACCUGUUUGCACUGCAGGCAUUCUGAGGGCUUGACAAAAACACACUAAACAUAAUGAAAAUGUCUGUAAUGUAGUCUCUAAACUUUUCAUUCUGCUGCCACGCUUGUGCAAUUUCAAAUGAUGCUGUACGUCCUCCAUUCCAGUGGCCUGACUGAGCAUCAGCAUUCAUUUACAAGGUGACUGGAGUGCUACUUAAGCAAAGUAAAAAUACAUUCAGUUUGUUUUUCUGUCCACCAUCGCGUGGUUAGUUCUAAGUGAAUUUCAUGUCAAGUUGAUGGCCCAGGCAUCCUCCUUUUAUCUAUAAGCACUUACUCCAGUGGCAGAACAAAAGCCCUUCUGCUCUGAUCCUUAACAGUAUAUCUUCCUACAGAAGCGACUUCAGAUGGCAGCCCCUCCAAGCCCUUGAUCUCUCUGCCAGCCUCUGUAACGAAGGUGCAGAUUUGCGAUGGUGCUUUCUAUGAUGUGCUUCCCUAGCAGAAACUCGACUGGGAAUUUCAAAUCGUCUCACAGGGAGCAGCGCUGUCUAAUAUUAUUAUUCACCGAUGUUCUAAAAAUAGUUGUGAUUAGAUUAUAGUAGAUAGAAACCCAUGGAAAUGGACCAGAAUGAUAACAGUUACUUUGGAAUGAAAAAAAAAAAAAAAGUUUCCAGAGGAAAAUAUUUAAUUAUUUUAUAUGCCUCUUAACUGCCAUGAAGGGUAUUGGUGAUUUCUUAUUAUUUUUGUUGUUGUUGUUGGGUUUGGACAGAAGAGCCUGGAUUGCAGAUGCCAAGAAAUAUGGUAACAGCAGCAUUUCUCACAAACUUUGCCUGUUUUGUGAAGUGUUGGCCGUGACACCUGAUUAUGCGACUGCCCACUGUGUAGGAGUUACAAGGUCAGCAUGAACUAAACAAAGGAAAACCGUGGUCUCACCCAAUAUACAGCCCACAGCAAACACAGAGUGUGCGGGGAGUAAUGAGUUUGCAUGAUAAGAGUAUAAUCGUUGUUUUGGGUGCUGUUGUCCUUGAAAACUGCUUUAGAAGCUUUUCCCAUCAGGUAGCAUCAGCUGUGAGUGAGAGCAGCCUCCUUAGAAACUGCUAUUUUAUCCUGCUCACCUGCAGACAUAGGCUCUGAGCCUUCAGUACCUGUUCUCCAACUUCAGACAUGACAGCCAGAUGUUUUCUCUCCCCACCCAGACUGCUGGCAGCACACAUACCUCAGUUGGUAAAGCUUUAAGACGUCCAUCAGUCUCAUGGGAUCUCUGGUAAACACCGAGUAGAUUCCCUGGAGUGCUUCAUCAAGAUCAAGUGCAGCAAAAGACUCAGUGCUGUCUCAUUCUCUGCCCAGCCUUGGGCACAGAUUUGAGCAACAUGAGAGCUGCUGUGACCCAUGUCAUCUGGCAGUGGUCCCCAAGAGCUUGUUUACACAGGAUAUUUUUUCACGAGAAUGUAAUUACACCGCUGAAACUACAUGAGCGUGAAAACUUUGCACGUGUAGCAGAGUUAAGCCAGGACUUCUGCGUUAGCCAGGGCUCGAUUCUGCAAGGUGCAGAGCGCAGGUGUGAGGCACUGACUGUCCCUUGUUCCCUGCCAUCAGCGGCCCAGGAGAACAGUCAUUGUCCUUCAGGAAUGCUUGACAUCAUUCGGAAAUGCUGAGCACCUUCCAGGACUGGAACUACUGGGAUGAACAGGGCAGAAACAGGCUCAUGCUUUGCAUUUGGCCCAGGCUAUGCUUUUAAAGGACAUGAGGAAGUUCUUUAUUCUGGACUACGAGCCUGCUCUUGCUUUGACUGAAGCAAGUGGAUUUUGUUUCUGUACUUUGAUGUAGAGAGUAGAGAUUGAUUUUCAUCAGCUUGUGGCUGUUGAGUAGCAAGUCAGGCAGUCUGGCUGCUCCACAGCAUCACAGGCAGGCUGAGCCACAAACACAGCAUCAUCAUUUUUUUUCACACCUUCCUCUGCUCACCUUCAUCAAACAGCUCCUCUUCAUUAAAGCAGUUCCUCCGCUUCUCUGCUCGCUUUACAUGUUAUGACACUGCUGUGAAGCACAGAAUUCACUGAAGCCUUAGAGAGAAAUAGAUAAAUGAGACAUCUUGAGCCAUCACUACAGAGAGAGAAAAGGAGGACAUGGUGCUGAUUUCAGCAAACACUCAUGUUUCCACAACACUUACUCACUGUUAGGCUACUCCACAAACCUUUUAUGUAAAGAAAAUUUGCAAGAAUAGCAACGAAGAUGACAUAAUGAAUGAAGUGAGCAGUUAUUUUUGGCUGCCCCCAAUUUGGGUGACAUUGAGUUUGGCCACAGCACCUGCCAUGAUGGCUUGAUAAGGUCUGAAAUAGUGCCUGAAUAAUAAAUGAGGCUCACAUCUGGUAAAAUUCAGUGUUUGAGGUUUUUUUUUUUAAUGUUCUUUUAUCAUGUUCCUGUUGCUUGACUUUAUCUGAAGGGAUUAUGUUUAGAGAGCAUACAUAGACAAAUAGAUAUGCUAAUAAAAAAUGCUAUAGUUGAUAAGGUACAGGCAACACGGAGCAUUCAGUGCAGGCUACAACCAGCUCCAGACUAAAAAUGGUUACUAACGUAACUGAAAUUUGUACUUUGGUCAUUAAAAAACACAGAUAACAAAUGAGUAAAUGAUCCUUUUGACUGGUUUACUUUCAGGAGGCUAGAUUAUAUUUGUCAGUGUAGAUCAAGAGAAUGGUGAAAGAAGGGAAAUAAAAGGAGUUGCGCUUUCUAUUCUAGUAACUAGAAUGAGGGGUCGAGGGGGAAAUGCAGGUUUCAAUCUGAUAAAUAAGUGCAUGAUAUAUGCCGGGCUUAUGGCAGUGUUGUUGCAGGCCAGGAGAGCUCGGGAGGGACGUGUAUUUCUAAGCCCUGUGAGACUGGCAGUUCUCACUCUUAAUCCAGUUCCCAUCUUCUCUGCUAGUGGAGAGAGUACCCACGUUCAGAGGCUUUGACAGGACUCAGCAUCCAACAGCAUCUGAUGGAUCACCUAUUACAGUCUGAAGACUUUAAAUCUGUCCAAGAGUGGUUUCCAAAGCUCAGAAUGAACGAUUUUGUAAUCAGCAACCUGACUUCCAGAGCUGCUUGAUAGUACAAAAUCUCAUUAAAGAUAAAAGACUAAAAGAAAAAAUCCUGAAACACCUGGUAUCACCAACUCCCAGCAAGAAGCAGCAUUACUGAACACUGUGGCAGAAGCCUGGAUUCUAGAAAGAUCAGGGAAAAAGAAGAAACUGCAGUAGAAACAUUUGGCUUGUCACAAUUGUUAUAUGGCACCGUAGCUGCAACUUCGUAAUGUGCAAUAAAACUGACAUGACGAGUUUUCUUUGAAAAGCACUUUGGUUCUGGAAUAAAAUCACAUGCAUCAAAAAUAUGGCAUAGCCUUCUGUAUUGCAUAAUGUAUUGCAUAAGAGAAAAUAGAGAAUAGCUGUU